AAUAAGACGAUAUUACCUUAUGUUUUUGGGAUUUUCAAAACAAACUGAAAUAUUUUAGUGAAAUGCGUAACUCAACAGACAUUAAAUUAGCCAGAAUUUAAAUUCUCUAGCAGCUGAGAGCCACUCGCUUAAGAGGAGACUGACCGACAAAACCACAAAUUUGCCAUUUGACGGUUGACCGUUUCCACCAACAUUUUUGAAUUUGACCUAACGUUAGGCAGCUAGCUAGCUAACGGCUACAUUUUCCUCGGUUUAACUUUACAAAUGGCGAAUCCACAGAGGAACUGCCUAGCUUUUCUACUUGGUGAGAAGUCACACAACCUGGUCCAACGCCCUCAAAAAAGACAUUUCAACCAUGCGGUGUGCACAAACGGGUCCGUGGAAGACGCCGCCUGGACCCGAGGAGGCCGGUUAAUUGAUCAACGCAGCUAACUGUUUCCGUAAGGGAUUCAGAAAAGCACAUAUCAAAGGUGUGACGAAACUCGAGAUAUCCAUUAUUAUAGAUUCAUGGGGGGAGGAUACUGGAAGAUACCCCAAAGCUUCAAGGAGAGUUGUAUAUUCUCAUAUUGUCUUAAAACCCUGUGGCUACAGUUGUCUGUCAAGGGCAUAGACUGGAUCCAACUUUUGAUGUAGAGUACCGACUUUUUUUUCC